GAUGAACGCUAGCUACAGGCUUAACACAUGCAAGUCGUGGGGCAGCGGAUACUUAGCUUGCUAAGUAUGCCGGCGACCGGCGCACGGGUGAGUAACGCGUACCGAACCUGCCCAUCACACAGGGAUAGGCUUGCGAAAGCAAGAUUAAUAUCUGAUGGUCUCAAUUUUAUGCAUGUAUGAUUGAGUAAAGCCUUCGGGCGGCGAUGGAUGGCGGUGCGUCCCAUUAGGAAGUUGGCGGGGUAACGGCCCGCCAAUCCUUCGAUGGGUAGGGGUUCUGAGAGGAAGGUCCCCCACAUUGGAACUGAGAUACGGUCCAAACUCCUACGGGAGGCAGCAGUGAGGAAUAUUGGACAAUGGGCGAGAGCCUGAACCAGCCAAGUAGCGUGCGGGAUGAAGGCCCUUGUGGUCGUAAACCGCUUUUAUCAGUGAAUAAAGUGCACCACGUGUGGUGUCAUUGCAGGUAGCUGAAGAAAAAGGACCGGCUAAUUCCGUG
rnacentral:rRNA from 1 species